rnacentral:lncRNA from 10 species
GUAGACUAGUGUUUGCCCCUUUGACUCAAUCUCCUCUUUCCAUGCUAUAGUACAGGAAUCUUCCUGUACCUACUGGAGACAUGCAUUAGAGCCUUCUUCCCAGAUAAGUUACAAUCUUCCUUCUCUGUUUCAUAGGUGUAUGUCUUGUGUUCAUCUCCCUGAAAAGUUUUAUUUGGGCUCCUUAAGAAAAGUGUGACCAUGUCUAUUCUGGCAUGCUUCACAGUGCUAGGCACACAGUAGGUCAACAAACAACACUUCUAUGAGGCCAGGAGUUCCUCCAGAGCAGGACCCGUGCCUUGUUUCUAGAUCUCCAGCCCUUAGCACCAGGCCUAGCUAGGUAGAGAGGUUCUGAGCUAAGACUUAGGAGAGGAAUCCAGGAAUUGCUCCUUUUAAUAAUUCAUCAGCUUUUGUCACAUGUGCAUUGAUCGAAUUCUUUUGAAUACAGGUUAUGUUUUAACCUGGAUAAUAACAAUCCCUUAUACACACACAGUCUUUGUAGCUUGCAAUUUAUCUUUGAGUAAUAAAACCCAGUGAAAAUCUGGUGGAUAAAACGGUCCUUACUUUAUACGUGGAGAAACUGGGCUUAGAGAGGUUGAGAGGCUUCACCGUUGACGUCAGGCUAUGAAAUAUCAGAAUGAGGUCAGAAUAAGAUCUCCUGGUCCAAGGCUCCUGAUACCAAAAUUUCCCAAAUGUGACUCUGGCCUUCUUUGGUUACUACCCGUUGGGUAAGUCAACUCCUUUCAGGUGGUAACCUGCACCGGGAACUGUGGCAGUGGCCUGAUGAGGUGGCAGGGAGAGAAUCAUGGCCAGUUUCUUGGUUCCUCUGCUUUCCCUGUACCUCUCAGACUCUUAAUCCAUCUCUGUGUUCAUGAUGUGCCCUGGACACGGGCUGAGAGGUCGAGGAGGAGCCCAGGAAUGAGGAUGCGUUGGUGGAGCCUGGCCUUCCUGUCAGAACUCCAGACACCAGGGAGAGAUGAGCAGCUUGGUUUCCAUGGCAACCUGCCCACCCAGAUCCCUGCAGCUGCAGCCCCUGUGGGCCCCUGAGGUGGGGGCUGUGGGUGUCCUGCUGGGCCCUGGGGCUGCAGUAGGCAGGAGGGAGUGCAGGGCUGAGGCAGGCUGCUCACUCGGAGUCGGAGCUUCGCCUGACAUGGUUCCCAUGGGGACGGCUGUGGGCACAUGCUGCCUGUGGUCAGAUACCCAAAUUAAAACUGCUCCGUAGUUCUGGUAGCUCCUCCUGGGCUCAGAGCCUUUGGAAGAAAGACUGAGUUUUGGGCGCACUAGCCUCUCAAACCUUCCCCGCCCCAACAAAAGGUAGAUUUGAGAACUUGGGACUAUGGGGCUUUCUGUUUCAUGACUGGAGCAUUCCCUCUGUGCCAGAGCCUAGAGACACCAAGAUGGCUGAAGUGCAGUCACCAUCCUUAGGGAGAGGCGAGAAAGACAGGCCAUAGAGCUGAAAAUUACAACACAGUAUGGCCUGGCAACAGUGGAACUCAGAGCAAGAAACAGAGGAGGGAUCCAUCAAUUCUGGGGAAGUUUCAGAAUAGGAGGGAGCUUCACUCCACGCAGAGGAAGGGGCUCCUGCAAACACUGGAGGAAAGAACAUCCUCUGUGACGUCACAGAGUAUGAGGCUCCUAGUUCUAAUAGGAUUGGAUGGGGGUUGUGCUGCUGUGAGAGAUGCAGUGUUG